UUAUUCUAAUGCAAAUUGACAUGUCAAAUUAUAGACAGUAAUUAACUCAUACACUGACAAUUGAAGGAUAUUUAUCAAACUAUAGUCCAAUUAUUAUAAUUACUGCACUACCAACUUCUCCCGUUUGCUUGUAACGCAAAAUGAUAAAAUAAUAAGCAGACAAUUAUAUUUGCUAUUCAAGUCUCCCAUACGAGGACUCGAAUACUUUGGCGAGUAUAAAAAGCUCCAUUUUUUCACUGUUCGGUACUCAGAAGCUUCUAAAGAUUCAACGGAGCAUUAUUGAAAAAAAAAAAACCAAAAUGUCACGAGUUACUUUGUUAUUAUUAAUAAUUUCAUUCAUUGGCUGCUUCUAUGCUGAUGCUGUAUACCAUUGUGCAGGCAGUUGGUGUGCUAGUAAUGGCUAUCCUUGUAGCUGUGAGGAUUACGUUUGUGACGGAUAUAACAACGGUAAUUGUGUAUUCCAACCGUCUUCAAGUGAAGAUUAAAGUAAUUCCCAUUAUCUCAGAAAGUUCAGUUUUACGAAUUUGUAAUCAGCAUUGUACUACGAAUUGAAAAUGGUGGCUGCUUGUUACAAUAAAAUGGCGCUUUAUGAAUUUUGUAAAAUUGGUCUUUUUCGAUACUAAUAAAUACAAUAAUAAAAAUAA